UUCUUGAUCCCUGUAGUGGUUGCCUCUCUUGUUGUCUUUCACUUCCUCUUGCUGUCUCUGUCUCUGUAUCUAUGGGCCCAUCUCUGAUUAAAAACAUUUUAUUUUAUUUUUAAUAUAGAUAUUGCCCUGACUUAUCUGUGUUCAUGUGACCCCCCUUCCUUCCCCCCUCCCCAGGAACGCAAGCUUCAAGAGGGCAGGGGAGUAUUUCCUUUUUGUCUUUGUACCCCUGACAUUUAAUACAGAGCCCUGGACACUGUAGGACCUGAAUAAAUGCUAAACUGAAUUGCUUGGUGCCUUGAAAUGAGAUCCAGUAACAGCAUAUUUUUUUUUGCCCUGUGACUUUUCCGGGUUAGAUCAUGUGGAUACAUUAGCUCAGAUAUGCUCUGGGCUCUAGUAACUAUUUGCUCAUGCAAUAUUGGACUCAGAUAAGCUUGGAGCCGCCCUCUGGUUCAUUACAUUUACAUCAUGCUGCUUAGAAGUACUUGACUUUCCUUCUCCUGACCCCUUUUUCCACUUCCCCAUUUAUCUUAUCUUUGUAACCAUAGAAACGACUCUUUAAAAGGUGAAGUUGCCCCAGUUACUCUCUUUGAUUGGCUGGAAUGCAACCAUUCCAUGACUGUUUUAUUAAUGGCAUGGCAGACAUAGCAAAACAUUCAUUUUUGAAUGUGGCUUCUCUUUGAGUUUAGGGACUGGGAAGAAGUGAAAGGUCUCAGUACAGAGAAUAUGAAAAUGAAACUAUUUCUGCAGCCAAAGUGAGAAAGAUCAGCAGUAACGUUCUUGAUCAGACAGACAGUGGGUAUCAACAGUCAAAGCUUCAUUUUAUUGUUAACAUUGAACUAAAAGUCUCCUUUUUGUUCUUCUUCCUGUUUGAUUCUUAGUGUGCAAACACUGAGGGAGGUGGAGUCCCCUUUAUAGUACCUAUGAAGUAGAUUUGUUUUGAAGAGGCACAGUUGGACUUCCCCUCAUGCUUUCAUGGCCAAAUGUUUGCAUCAUAUAGGCUAUAGUCCCCUGGAAGAUAUCACUUGGAAAAUUUCCCAACUUUGAAUAAUCAUCAUAGGUUGCUUUUUAGCCUUCCAUAAAAGUGAGGCACACAUGCCGUGCUUUCAGGAAAUUCUCAUAAAGUUAUACGAGUCAGAUUUUAUAUGAUUAUGUGAACACUAGGCCCCUGAAGU
rnacentral:lncRNA from 1 species